UUGGUCAUGAUAUUUGUGCGGGAAUA
rnacentral:misc_RNA from 1 species